rnacentral:lncRNA from 1 species
UUAGGUGUGAUAGGAUUAAUAUUUUUAUUUGAGAAUAAAUUAUUACUUUGCUCAACUCUCUACAAAUAAAAUGAAAAAAUGUAGCACUUGCUCUACGAAAAAAAUAUAAGAAAAAAAUUAAAUCUUUUUACAAAUGGCCUGUCAGUCUGAGGUGGUUGAGGAGCGCCAUGGAUUAUUUGAGAUUAGAUAAACCAUAGUAUUGUCUCAGUUUUCAAAUCUUCAAAAUGCAAGACACUUGGGUUAUUAUAGAUGAAAUCAGGAACC